rnacentral:rRNA from 1 species
UACGUAGGGUGCAGGCGUUAAUCGGAAUUACUGGGCGUAAAGCGUGCGCAGGCGGUUUGCUAAGACAGGUGUGAAAUCCCCGGGCUUAACCUGGGAACUGCGCUUGUAACUGGCAAGCUGGAGUGUGGCAGAGGGGUGUGGAAUUCCACGUGUAGCAGUGAAAUGCGUAGAGAUGUGGAGGAACACCGAUGGCGAAGGCAGCCCCCUGGGUCAAGAUUGACGCUCAUGCACGAAAGCGUGGGGAGCAAACAGG